GAUGAACGCUGGCGGUAUGCUUAACACAUGCAAGUCGAACGGAAGUCUUCGGACUUUAGUGGCGGACGGGUGAGUAACGCGUGAGAAUCUACCUUCAGGAUGGGGACAACAUUAGGAAACUGAUGCUAAUACCCAAUAUGCCGAGAGGUGAAAGGCUUGCUGCCUGAAGAAGAGCUCGCGUCUGAUUAGUUAGUUGGUGGGGUAAUGGCCUACCAAGGCAGCGAUCAGUAGCUGGUCUGAGAGGAUGAUCAGCCACACUGGGACUGAGACACGGCCCAGACUCCUACGGGAGGCAGCAGUGGGGAAUUUUCCGCAAUGGGCGAAAGCCUGACGGAGCAAUACCGCGUGAGGGAGGAAGGCUUUUGGGUUGUAAACCUCUUUUAUUCGGGAAGAAGAACUGACGGUACCGAAUGAAUCAGCAUCGGCUAACUCCGUGCCAGCAGCCGCGGUAAUACGGAGGAUGCAAGCGUUAUCCGGAUUUAUUGGGCGUAAAGCGUCCGCAGGUGGUUUUACAAGUCUGCUGUCAAAGCGCGGAGCUUAACUCCGUAAGGGCGGUGGAAACUGUGAGACUAGAGUCUGGUAGGGGUCACGGGAAUUCCCAGUGUAGCGGUGAAAUGCGUAGAUAUUGGGAAGAACACCGGCGGCGAAAGCGCGUGACUGGACCGGAACUGACACUGAGGGACGAAAGCUAGGGGAGCGAAAGGGAUUAGAUACCCCUGUAGUCCUAGCCGUAAACGAUGGAAACUAGGUGUUGCCCGUAUCGACCCGGGCAGUGCCGUAGCUAACGCGUUAAGUUUCCCGCCUGGGGAGUACGCACGCAAGUGUGA
rnacentral:rRNA from 1 species